GAUGAACGCUGGCGGCGUGCCUAAUACAUGCAAGUCGAGCGAACGGACGAGAAGCUUGCUUCUCUGAUGUUAGCGGCGGACGGGUGAGUAACACGUGGAUAACCUACCUAUAAGACUGGGAUAACUUCGGGAAACCGUAGCUAAUACCGGAUAAUAUUUUGAACCGCAUGGUUCAAAAGUGAAAGACGGUCUUGCUGUCACUUAUAGAUGGAUCCGCGCUGCAUUAGCUAGUUGGUAAGGUAACGGCUUACCAAGGCAACGAUGCAUAGCCGACCUGAGAGGGGGAUCGGCCACACUGGAACUGAGACACGGUCCAGACUCCUACGGGAGGCAGCAGUAGGGAAUCUUCCGCAAUGGGCGAAAGCCUGACGGAGCAACGCCGCGUGAGUGAUGAAGGUCUUCGGAUCGUAAAACUCUGUUAUUAGGGAAGAACAUAUGUGUAAGUAACUGUGCACAUCUUGACGGUACCGAACCAGAAAGCCACGGCUAACUACGUG
rnacentral:rRNA from 1 species